AAAUGGGCUGUUUCAAGACUGGAGUGUGAAACACACCAGAUAAGGCCAAGCAGCUUGAGGGCCAGGAAGUAAAGUGCUCAAAAAACAAAACAAUGGCCCACCUGGCAUGCUCCCUUCCCUCGCCCUCUGCAUUUAAAUGGGAGGCACAUGUGACUCACUCAAAAUAACAUAUGUAGAAUAUUUGAAACCAACAAAACAGCCCCAGCCACUGCAUCAGGGUGACUGACUCAGGAGACCAUCACUUUUUCUCCAUCUUCCAGGCGGCAGUUUUACCACCUUACUGCUGAGAACAACAGAUGUCAGGGAGCAGGAGCAUCUUGAGCUCAGUCAAGAGCACCAAAGUGAAAAGGAAGUUCUCAAAAGGGAAGCAAACUGGAGUGAUGCAGAGGGCAAAGCAAUCAAGUGGCCACUCAGCUGCAGCAGGGAAGAGGACCCUCUGGGUCUCACACCAGCGUCACCUAAGCCAGACACCCAUCAGUGACUGCAGCUCCUGUCUGGGAUGAGGAAGCUUGGGACAGAGGUUCUGGAUUGGGGUAGCUCUUUGGAGACAAAGGGCAGAGUAAAAGUAUCAGGAUGACACAGUCACGAAGAAGGCCCCGAGCCAGGGGCCAACACCCCCCAGAGCCCCCCAGAAACCAGGAGAAAGAGUCCCCAUCCCUGUGUCAGGGGUGAAGUCACAGCCUGGCCGAAGCAAAUGCUGCCCACGAAUCUCAACAAGACCAAAUGGCAGUGAGGAUAGGUGACCAGGAGGACAAGGAUGGCCAGGGACAACUUUCAGACCCCGCCAGGUAUGCCGGGGUGAGGCCAUCUCAGAGGGCCCCUCCUAUGGCUUCACAAGCAGUCCAGUGACCCAGGGGCACAGCUCAGGCCUGCUAGCUUGAGUUGAUCAUCCCUCCGCUGAGGCAGCACAGUGCUCCUGACUGUGUCUGUCAGAAGCAACCUGGCAGGACACCCCAGGUGCCUGCUAUGCAGGUCACAGGAUUCAGAAACUUAUUUGGACAAAAG
rnacentral:lncRNA from 1 species